UACGUAGGGUGCGAGCGUUGCCCGGAUUUAUUGGGCGUAAAGGGCGCGUAGGCGGCCACGCACGUCCGUUGUGAAAUCGCCCGGCUCAACUGGGCGGGGUCAGCGGAUACGGUGUGGCUCGAGCAAGCUAGGGGGCAAUGGAAUUCCCGGUGUAGUGGUGGAAUGCGUAGAUAUCAGGAAGAACACCCGUGGCUAAGGCGGCUCUCUAGUACGGUACUGACGCUGAGACGCGAAAGCGUGGGGAGCGAACAGG
rnacentral:rRNA from 1 species